rnacentral:lncRNA from 1 species
UUGCAAGGUUGGGAUUGGACAAGUAGUAGUGAGCUAGUAGGGUUGAUGUAGAGGGGUUGAGAUAAGGCAAGUAGUAAUGAGGUAGUGGAGUUGGGGUGGCGGGAUUGGGAUAAGACAAGUAGUAAUAGGAUAGCAGAGUUGAUAAAGCAAGGUUGGAAUAAGGCGAGUAUGAUUGAGGUAGUGGGAUUGAGGUGAUCAAGUUGAGGCAUGGCAAGUAGUGGUGAAGUAGCGGAAUUGGGACAAUGGAGUUGAGACAAGACAUGCAAGAUUGGAGUAGAGGCAAGUAGAGGUGGAGUGAUGGAGUUAAGAUAAGGCUAGUAGAGAGGAGUGGUGGAGUUGGAAUGAAGACAAUGGAUGAGAAUGAAGUAUGAAAAUAUAGACAUGGAAUUGAAACAGAGUUGAAGGAAGAAGAGUGUGGUUUUAACAAGUCCUUAUCUAUCUAUCUAUCUAUCUAUCUAUCUAUCUAUCUAUCUAUUAUAAAUAAAAGAUAUUAAUAAUAAUUAUUUUAUCAAAUUAUCAUAUUGAUGACUUGUUAUGAUUAA